GAUGAACGCUGGCGGUAUGCCUAACACAUGCAAGUCGUACGAGAGUUUUUAACUCAAGUGGCGGACGGGUGAGUAACACGUGAGAAUUUGCCUUUAGGAGGGGGACAACAACUGGAAACGGUUGCUAAUACCCCAUAUGCUUUCGAGUGAAAUGAAUUUAUUCGCCUAAAGGGAAGCUCGCGGCUGAUUAGCUUGUUGGUGGGGUAAGAGCCUACCAAGGCGACGAUCAGUAUCUGGUUUGAGAGGACGAUCAGACACACUGGAACUGAGACACGGUCCAGACUCCUACGGGAGGCAGCAGUGGGGAAUUUUCCGCAAUGGGCGAAAGCCUGACGGAGCAAUACCGCGUGAAGGAAGACGGCCUAUGGGUUGUAAACUUCUUUUUUCAGGGAGGAAUUCAAUGACGUGUACCUGAAGAAUAAGCAUCGGCUAACUCCGUGCCAGCAGCCGCGGUAAGACGGAGGAUGCAAGUGUUAUCCGGAAUCACUGGGCGUAAAGCGUCUGUAGGUUGUUAAACAAGUCAACUGUUAAAUCUUGAGGCUCAACUUCAAAAUCGCAGUCGAAACUGUUUGACUAGAGUAUAGUAGGGGUAAAGGGAAUUUCCAGUGGAGCGGUGAAAUGCGUAGAUAUUGGAAAGAACACCGAUGGCGAAGGCACUUUACUGGGCUAUUACUGACACUCAGAGACGAAAGCUAGGGUAGCAAAUGGGAUUAGAUACCCCAGUAGUCCUAGCCGUAAACAAUGGAUACUAGAUGUUGAACAGAUCGACCUGUGCAGUAUCAAAGCUAACGCGUUAAGUAUCCCGCCUGGGAAGUAUGCUCGCAAGGGUGAAACUCAAAGGAAUUGACGGGGGCCCGCACAAGCGGUGGAGCAUGUGGUUUAAUUCGAUGCAACGCGAAGAACCUUACCAGGGUUUGACAUGAUACGAAUUUUUGUGAAAGCAGAAAGUGCCGU
rnacentral:rRNA from 1 species